rnacentral:ncRNA from 2 species
ACGAAAAGCUGGGGGAGUUUCGACUGAGAGCGGUAUGCCACCGCGACCCUUCGUACCUGAUCCGGGUAAUGCCGGCGUAGGGAAGCGCGCCGAUAGAUUU